GACGAACGCUGGCGGCGUGCUUAACACAUGCAAGUCGAACGCUGAAGACCUGGCUUUUGUUGGGUUGGAUGAGUGGCGAACGGGUGAGUAACACGUGAGUAACCUGCCCUCUUCUUUGGGGUAACGCCCGGAAACGGGUGCUAAUACUGGAUAUUCACUGGCCUUCGCAUGGGGGUUGGUGGAAAGGUUUGUUCUGGUGGGGGAUGGGCUCGCGGCCUAUCAGCUUGUUGGUGGGGUGAUGGCCUACCAAGGCUUUGACGGGUAGCCGGCCUGAGAGGGUGACCGGUCACAUUGGGACUGAGAUACGGCCCAGACUCCUACGGGAGGCAGCAGUGGGGAAUAUUGCACAAUGGGCGAAAGCCUGAUGCAGCGACGCCGCGUGAGGGAUGGAGGCCUUCGGGUUGUAAACCUCUUUCGCUCAUGGUCAAGCCGCAACUGUGGGUUGUGGUGAGGGUAGUGGGUAAAGAAGCGCCGGCUAACUACGUG
rnacentral:rRNA from 1 species